UAUCCGCCGGUCUUCCACCACCACUACUCGUUUGCAAAUCAUUGUUUCGAUUAUCCCCUGUCGAAUAAUAAAUAAUCCAAAAUAUUUUAAAUAAAAGACAUCGAGCGUGUUAAAAUCGGAGACAGUUGUAAAUUGUAGACUAAAGUUUGUAGAAUUCGUGACGUUUGAAGAGCCGGUGUACGUUCGUUUAUUUCUCGACGAAUACAGCACGAUCUUCAGGGUAUCAUUGUUGAUCGCGUUUAUCAGUAAUCCUGCGCUCGGAUUCAACGUCACGUGGGCUGGUUACAAUCUUUCUUCUCUUCGUUCUGCGUCGUACAGAAUUUAACAAUGUAUAAACCGUGAUGUCUCCUGACUAAAUCAGAAUGGUGGUACUCGUACAAACAAACCAGGUCAUGAGAUCAAUGGAAUUGCGAGAUCACUCAAUGGUAAAAAAAAGUUCUACCAUCCGGAUCGGUGUGUUGCGUGGAAGCUUGUAAUACAUUCAGGAUGUUGCGCGUGAGUGUCUCUAACAAUGGGGGAAACUGUGAACAGUUUUCGUCGGCGUAGCAUAAUUUGUUUACUAUACAACGUUUCGUAGCUAUACAUUCUACAAGUUGUAUUUACAUCUCGCGGCGACCUGUGAACAUCACGAACCCUUUUAUCCUCAGACGAGCGACACAUUCAUUCUUCAGUAAUCCACAUGUGAACUCACUUAAAACAUAUACAAUCUGUGAUAAACUAUAUACAAAUAUCGUUUCUCGUUUAAUAUAGAAAUUUAUCCACAAAA